UAUUUCUGUGUAGAAAUGAAAAUUGGUUUGUUUUUAGUAUAUUAGUGUAGAUGUACACAUUCCAGCAAAUGUAUUUGCAAUUAUUAUGUGGUCAAUGCUUUGUGAUAUAAAUGUACUUUUUCAAUGUAUACUUUCACUUUUAAAAUGCCUGUUUUGUGCUUUACAAUAAAUAAUAUGAAACCUCCUGUGUCGGUAAGUUGGAUAUGUGGGUAUUUAAAGAAUUCUAGGACUUAUUAGCAAUGCUGAAUUAAGGUAUAUGUACCCAAAUGAGACUUUUUUUUCCCCAUGAAAUCUUAGAAUGAGUUUAAAAACCUGUCAUUGGCAUGUUUUUCCCCUUUGCAGAAUAGUUGUAGAUGGAGGAUCUCUUUCAUUUAUUGUAUUUUGCUGUCUAGCACCAGUAAUCUUGAUACCUUUAUUUUCUUUCUAUUUGAUUAAAAACUGCAUGUGUUUAAAAAGGUGAUCUUUUGGCAUACUUCCAUUGCAUUAACAGUGAAAUUUCCCUUUUUAUACAUGACCACUGUUUCAGACCUGUACAGCUGCUAUAAGUUAACCUUUCUGUUUUUAAUUUGAUACUGUUUCAGCAUAACUAUUUUAAACAUUUUUCAGAUUAGUUAUAAAAGGUUUUUACUUUUAUAAUGUUCUAAGCAUUCAGUUUGCAGUAGUUCAUUUCAAAAAUCAGUGUAGAAAGGUGAAUGUGGUUACCAGAAUUUCAUCUGACAUUGAAACUUUAUAUUUUGUUUGGGGUGGGGGAGUGGUUGACAGAGAACUUCUUUCAGUACAGAUAAGUUCUGUUGUGUAAAUGCUCAAGACCAGUUGUUGAAUCAAAUUAUUUGAUAUACUUUUUUUGUUACAUUACUGCUCGUACUGAAAAUCUGAUAUUCUGUUGAAAUUCAUUGUUUGCUGUUUGCAUAUUUAUUGGCUCUUUGCAUAUAUUAGACUACAUGCAAUACAGUCUGUCUUGCCAUUGUCUGUUGAAGUGCAGGUUUGAUCCAGCCAGUAUAGAACUAGCUCUAUAGGGGUGAGGAGGACUGUGCUGUGUAUCAUCCUUGAUUGUUCCUUCAAGGAGCAUUGCACUUGCCUUCCCAGACCUUCCACCUUAGGUUCUGCUGCAAAAAGCAACAGGUAAGCACAACCUAAGGAAGUAUAUAAAUACAUAUUUCAGUACAUUAAUGUUGUCCCUGUGAGAUUUUUGUGGUUGUGUAUUCAAAAGCAAUCUGCUGAUUUCCCCAAAUGCAUUCUGUUACUCAUGGUUCCAUUUCAGUGGAAAGUCUCUCAGUUGUUUAAACAACCGUUCACAUUUCUGGGUAAAUAUGUAUCUUUAUUUUUUAGAAAAGAUGAGUGGAUUGCUGCAAUAAUUAAACUUAAUCUGAAUAAGUCAUUUUUUGUUACUUUUUCCUCAAAUAGCUGAAUUGUAACAAUUUAACAAAGGAAAACAAAACUUUUCCCCCUCCCCCAAGAUGCAGGAAAUACUUGGUUAGAAACUUCAACAGCCUUCACAAAUGUUUUUAUAACUGGCAGGUCAUUAUUCCCACCCCACCCCUAAAAGCUAAAUAGAAUACUGUGUGUUUCUCUUGACUUUUUAAAGAAGUUAUACAACAUAAUAUUAGUGAAAUUUUUAGAUAAACUAGUUUGCUUAUCCAUCUGAUAUAGUAGGAAAAUUGACACAAGUUUUGCAGAAUAGUAUGUCUUACUAGAAAGCAUGUGCACAAGUGAAAUGUUAACUGUAUGGCAAAUAAUCUUUUCAUUAUCUAUAUAGCAAUCAGUAUUUUCUGUUCUUUGAUACUUUAACUGAAUUGCUGUAUACUUUUGCCAGUUUAAAAUGUUUGUUUUAUUCAAUGGUCUGGUACAGUUUUUUAGUUAAAGCAGCAUCUCAUCAGUUUUUGUUUAUUCAAUAUAUAAAAUGUGCUGAUCCUUUUUCAAAAGUCCUGCUUAUAUCUAUAUCAAAGAAAAAUAUUCAAAAAUACUGCCUUCAUUUUCACACACAGUGCUGAAGAUGCUGCAAGCACCAAAUCAUAGCUCAUAAAAUCAGGUCCUGAGAUAGUUACUACCAAUAAAGAGGAAUCCUUUGAGUGUAUGCCAUUGGUGAGCCGAUGAGCACGGACCAUAGAAGGGGUCCAUGUAGAAGGUAAAAUUGGCAAAACAACAGAUUUGAAAUGUAUCCCAUACAUAAUGGUGUAGGGUAUAAUUUUUUUGUCUGAUCACUUGUCAUUCUUUAAAGUGCUAUUUGCUUGACCAUAAAUGUUCAAUAAUCUGUUUAGUUUUAAAAAUUAUGUGGCUAAUAUUAAACUAUAUAUUUUAAUUUAUAUUCUUCUAAGCAGUCAAGCUUAGAUAUAUUUACCUUCUGAAAUUAAUAGUUGCACUUAAUUCCCUCAAGCCACUUCAUUUUUGUUUACUUGUAGUUUGAUAUGUAACUCUCAUUUAUUUUUCACAAGAGAACUAGGUAUGUACCCCCCGUGGGUUUUAAAUCCUAAGAAUUUAUUGUCUGGGGUGGGAUUUCAAUUUCACUUCCUUAAACAUGCUGCUUUUUAUUUCACCGUUACAUGAAUAUUUUAAUAAUUAAAAUCUUAAAUUGAGUAAAUUUAGAAAGUGGGAGGAAAUAGAAAAGACAGGCCAGUUAUUUGGAUUGAUGAUGGGGUGUGAAAGUCAUAAUGGCUUCAGUUUAGUGUUUGUGGCAUAUUGAUUUUCAGCUCACUUAUUGCUGGACUUAUAGGCAUAUUUUAUGUUAAGUGUAGUGUUAUUAUUUAAAUCAGUCUCCAAACUAUUUCUUUUAGAGGACAGAAGAUAAGAUUCUAGUAAUUUAAUUAUUUCUGAGCGAAGAUUGUUUUUGUGAUUUGGUAGAAAAGUAACUGAACUUUCCAAAAUGGGACAUUAAAUAAAUGUAUCUUGAUUUGAUAGAACCCCGCAAAUGAAAUAGGAAGUUGAGUACUGCAGUUUUAAAAGGGAAGUAGGGGAAGUGUAAUGUUUAAUAUAGUAAAAGCAUUUACAGAUGACUUUCUUCAGUCUUUAUACUGUAUGACAUGCCAUGAAAUACAUCAGCUGGAAGGAUAAUCUUCAUUUGGAAGUAUCAUAGUGUAUUUUGGUGUCCAGGCAGGUUGUAUUAUUAUUCACUGCACAGCUUAUCUUACGUGAAAUAUUUCAUCUUCCAUAACAGUUUUAUUGGAUGCUAGAAACUAUUUUCCCCCCUCAUGAAAUAGCUUUUCUAUGUUUCCUUUGCAUGUUGUAAAUUGGCAAAAUUUGGGCCGUCCAGUAAGCAUACAGUUGACAGGGUUCCCUCUUCCCUAGUAAUACCCUAUAAAACUCUCAUGUAUAUGCACAUAUUUCUCUUAUGCAUGUGAGAUGCAUUUUCGUCCUGAGAAAAGUGUUCUCUACAGAAACUACCCGUGUGUAAAAAGAAGAUUGGCUUUAUAAGGCUACUGUGAUGGGAAGUGUCUUAGGGAGAUGCAGCUUGGACUUGAGGUAAAUUGAAUGCUUUACAAAAUGUGGUUUUGAGCUUGCAUUAUUGACAUUGUAUGUAAUAUGGGUACACAUUAACUGUAUAACAUUUUUGUAUGGUUUUAUGGUUUUCUCAAUAAAUGUAAAAUGAUGGAUAGUACAAAA